UUAAAUUACUAAUAAAUACAAUACAUAAUCUCUUUAUUUCAUUCCACUUUAUAUUACAUGAGAGUAAAGACCAAAAUCAAAAGAUUGAUGGUCUGACAAUGUAGCUACACGACCGCAUUUAUAAAACAUUAUUUUACCAUAACAUACACGCGCAUCAUUUCCAUUAUAUUCCCAAUUUCUCCACCGACGCUGGUGCCUCCCCACCAAUGCCACUACGGCGGACUUCCCCUUCCUGUAUCCUCACCUCUUCCACCGCCUCCACCUCAACCUAUCCUGCCGCCGCUGCCUCCAAUACCUCCCCCUACUCCUCCUCCGAUGCCGCCGCCAACCCCACCUCCUACUCCACCGCCUCCACUUCCUCUUCCACCACCAUGUCCACCACCUCCUCCUCCUACG
rnacentral:lncRNA from 1 species